rnacentral:rRNA from 1 species
GUAGGGAAUAUUGGGCAAUGGAUGCAAGUCUGACCCAGCCAUCCCGCGUGCCGGAAGAAGGCCCUCAGGGUUGUAAACGGCUUUUGACGGUGAAGAAUCGACAGGAUGCGUCCUGUUUUGACGGUAGCCGUUGAAUAAGCACCGGCUAACUCCGUGCCAGCAGCCGCGGUAAUACGGAGGGUGCGAGCGUUGUCCGGAUGUAUUGGGUUGAAAGGGUGCGUAGGCUGGAAGGUCAGUCAGCGGUGAAAAGCUGUCGCUUAACGAUAGUCUUGCCGCAGAUACUUCCUUUCUUGGAUGAGGAGGAGGCCACUGGAACGGAUGGUGUAGCGGUGAAAUGCAUAGAUAUCAUCCAGAACACCGAUUGCGAAGGCAGGUGGCUGUACCUUAAUCGACGCUGAUGCACGAAAGCAUGGGGAGCAAACAGGAUUAGAUACCCGGGUAGUCC